rnacentral:rRNA from 1 species
GGAGGUGGAAGUGCAGCAAUGCAUGGAGCUGACCAAUACUAAUCGGUCGAGGGCUUAUCCUAUA